GUGGAAGAUUUUUACCUGACAAAGGUUAAACUAGGGUGGUUGUGUUUAAUGAUAUUUUUCCAUGGAUGGCAGCUUGCAAAUUGCGUCACUUUCUGAUUCUCCUGAAACAUUCAUUGCAUUUAAAACUAAGUAAAAGUGUCAAAUAUCAAUAUAAUGAGCUAAAUGUAUUGAAAAUGAGAUUCAGGAUUCAACUGCUUUCCCCAGGAUCCAGGAGGGAUAUUUAAAAUCAAUUUAUAUAUUUUUUGUAAAGUUUGUUUUCAUUUGGUUCACUUUUUGUAAUUUCCUGCAAAAUUUCUAAGUUUUAGGUAAAAUAUUUGUUUCCAGCUACAUUUUUUGCAUCAACACCAAAUUGUCUGCAAAAUACAUUUUAAGCACGUGCUCAUGCAUUUUUCAAAUUGCAGCUAUUGAUCUAGUUGAUGAAGC
rnacentral:misc_RNA from 1 species